rnacentral:rRNA from 1 species
GAAGGGGGCUAGCGUUGUUCGGAAUUACUGGGCGUAAAGGGCGCGUAGGCGGCUCUGUGCGUCGGGCGUGAAAGGCCUGGGCUCAACCCAGGAAUGGCGCUCGAUACGGCGGAGCUCGAGUGUGGGAGAGGAUGGUGGAAUUCCCAGUGUAGAGGUGAAAUUCGUAGAUAUUGGGAAGAACACCGGUGGCGAAGGCGGCCAUCUGGACCACAACUGACGCUGAGGCGCGAAAGCGUGGGGAGCAAACAGGAUUAGAUACCCUGGUAGUCCACGCCGUAAACGAUGUGCGCUAGACGUUGGGGGACCUAGUCUCCCGGUGUCGCCGCUAACGCAUUAAGCGCACCGCCUGGGGAGUACGGCCGCAAAGUUA